UAGACUCCUUGUUUGCAUACUAGAAUAAUCAGAACAAUCCAAUAAAUUAGAUCUGUGCUAGGAAUAUAGAAUGGAUGAGCUGUUAUAUAGAUUAGAUUAUCUAUUAGCUAUCAGACACUCUCCCUUUCUAUCUUUUCUUCCUGCACAACAAGUUGAAUGUCCAGUCGUGUAUCAAUUUUCUAUGUUUAUAUAUGAGCUAGUUCAUCAAGAUCAAACCCUAUUGACCCAUAGAUUAGGAAAUAACCCACACUUCAAUGCUCAUAAUUCAGGCUGGAAGGCUCAAUCAAAAUUUUCAUGAAAUCCACACUCAGUAGUUACCCCGACAAUAUAAGAAUCUAUGUUUGCAGAAGCACCCUAUUAAGAUGUGCCCUAUUCACCAUAUCAACCUUCUUCAAGUACCUAUAGCCCAUCAUUUGAAGAGAAGGUUUAGCAAGCAUUAGAUAGGCUAGAACUUAAGCAUCAGACCCUUCACAUCUCUAUGCAAUCUUUAGCCGAACUAGAAAUUUAAGUCAAUCAAUUAGUAAUCACAAUCAAUGGGGAGGAGGAAAA
rnacentral:lncRNA from 1 species